rnacentral:lncRNA from 1 species
UGAAAGAGCUAUGACCACAACUCUUCUCCAACCUCCAUAUCCUCUCUCAUCGAAGAUUGAAGAAACGAGGUUUAUCCCUGGAUAAUCUGAGGGAUGGAUAUAGUACGGGUGAGCAAAAUCAACUACUCCAUAGGUAGUAGAACCUGCUGCAACUGAUACAACAGAAGUGGAAGAAGCAGAAUUAACUGCAUCAGUGGUUUGACCUUCAGUAGCCAAUAUAAUAUCGAAUAUCUAGAUUUGAAGAAUUUUGAUUUGUAAAAAUGAGCUAAGAAAAGAGAAUAUUAUAGCAUAUCAGACCGUCUCUAAUACCAUGUCAGAUUUAAAUAAA